rnacentral:rRNA from 1 species
GUCUAUGGCCAUGCUACCCUGAACAAGCCCAAUCCCGUCUGAGCUUGGAAGCUAAGCAGGCUCAGGUCUGGUUCGUACUUGGAUGGGAGACCACCUAGGAAGACCAGGUGCUGUAGGCG